CCUACGGGAGGCUGCAGUGAGGAAUAUUGGUCAAUGGGCGCGAGCCUGAACCAGCCAAGUAGCGUGAAGGAUGACUGCCCUACGGGUUGUAAACUUCUGUUAUAAAGGAAUAAAGUGAGGCACGUGUGCCGUUUUGUAUGUACGUUAUGAAUAAGGAUCGGCUAACUCCGUGCCAGCAGCAGCGGUAAUACGGAGGAUCCGAGCGUUAUCCGGAUUUAGUGGGGUUAAAGGGAGCGUAGAGGGGUUGUUACGUCAGUUGUGAAAGUUUGCGGCUCCACCGUAAAAUUGCAAUUGAUACUGGCAGCCUUUAGUACAGUUGCGUUAGGCGGCUUUCGUGUUGUAGCGG
rnacentral:rRNA from 1 species